rnacentral:rRNA from 1 species
AUGGGUCAAGGUCAACAUGAGCAAUCUGUUUCCCAGUUCAAGACAAAGCUGCGUAUGCCGUUGGAUUUGGUGUCUGUGUUUCUCGCCUUCACACUGGAAAGCAGCCUAGACAAUUUACGAAGUACAUAUCCUGAUGUGGAGUUGAAAUCGGGUAUAUUGGAGACUCUUUGCUUCCCCUGCAUGGUUCUAAGAUUCUUCAUGAUGGCAGCCAAUCUGCCAUUCAUGCCUCCGAGCAUCCUGAUUUUCAUGGACACCGGCGCUGCCGUACUUGCCUGUUAUGUGCUACUACUGGACAUCAACUGGAGCUUCAAAUGGCUCACCAUGUUCCCCGUCAUGGGCAUUGUUUUCAUAUAUGCCCUGUCACGGUUGUACUCGAAGCCCUAUAGUCGAGGUGAAGAUCGUGAAGAGGCCGGGGUUAUCCCCUGUUCAAAAAUAAAAGAAGGUGAAGAUCGUGAAGAGGCCGCGGUUAUCUCCUGUUCACAAAUAAAAGAAGGUGAAGAUCGUGAAGAGGUCGCGGUUAUCUCCUGUUCACAAAUAAAAGAAGGUGAAGAUCGUGAAGAGGCCGCGGUUACCUUCUAUUCACAAAUAAAAGAAGAAGGUGAUGAUGGCCAUUGUGAGGCAAACCAAGGCAGUAAAGGAGAAAAUUUAUCGACGAGGAAUACAGAAGAAUCUAGCAAUGAGAAGAUCACUAGGGUAAUAUUUCUGCAGCUUGAGUUGAUCGGGAUAAUAACGUUCGGGGCGCUAUGGGCGAUGGACGAGCUGCUACUUGAUGAGCAUGCAACUGACAGGUUCACCAUCUCCCAGUUCCUCCUGUUCCUGAGCUUUAUGCUGGCAGCACUGACGUCCAUGAUGAAGAGACUGCCUACUGACGUCUCCCCGGGCAUUGCACCGGCAUCGGAGUUGCUCCACAAGACCUUGCUUGUACUCCUGCUGGUGACAGCGCACACGGUGGCCGCGGAGGCGCUGGGUGAGGAAGUGAUUAUCCUCUGCAUGCCAGAGGUUAUCCCAGCUGUGCUAAUCUGGUUCAGUAUUCACCAUGGCUCCGUCAGCGACCAGGUGAUGGAAACUUAUAAAAGCUGGGAAUGGCGCAUUUCUCUAGGUGCAGUGGUAGCUCUUUUUCUGGCCAAGAUUGGUGAGUCCCUGCGCCCCGGCUGGUGCACGACAAUAUUUGCUUGCUGUGCCGUCUCAGGGCUCCUGGCCCACUACGUUGUGUUCAUGCUAAGUCAUUGGCCAGGGCAACAACCGGCUGAUGACAAGCAGGAUCCGGGGAAGCUGGAUGUACAAGCCGCUGAUGGAAAGCAGGAUCCAGGGAAGCUGGCUGUGGAAUUACUGAGGCAUUGGGCAAAUGACUUACUGAUAGCCGCAGCUGCGUUGCUGCUACUCAGGUAUCUGCUCGUUCACGGGCUUGGUUGGAGAGAAGCACUUACUGCACUAAGCCAGACCUUUGAACGAUUGAUUUCAGCAGUGAGAGGACACACAACUACUUUUUGGUCCAUCAUGCCAUUACUAUGUUCUACCGUAUUCAAUUUGUUGUCCAGUUCAAUGAACCUGCACAAGGAUUCCCCAGGAAUUGCAACAGUGCGAAGGAGCUUUGGAAUUUGCUAUAAUGUGUUGAUUGUACUUCAUAUGUUCUGCUUUACAGGUGAUGUAUCCCAUACUCUAUAUUAUAAGUACAAUAGUAUUGCCUUACUUUGGAAGGAAUGCAGCGCAUUCUUGUAA